ensembl:lncRNA
UCCAUAGAAUGAAAACACGGAAGGAUUUCAAAGCUGGCAGAACACUAAAGGCAAAACACUAAGUAGUUUCCAAAUCAUAAUCACUAACAACUGUAUAUGACUUCUGGAAGAGUUUAGAUAUGUUUGCGGGCCUGAGAGAAUACACACUCUGUCUGAAGAAUGGAAAGUGCAGAUAGGAUUCUGCUCUAGAGGAUGAAUUCUGGAAUGAACAGUGCUGCAAAUGAAAAGUAAGGCAGCGUGAAUAGCUGGUGUCCAUCUGUCACCAGGCGUGCCUACAAGAGAAAGUUUCAUGCCUAACCCAUUACUGCUUGUUAUUCAGAACACUAAAUUAAUACAUAAAAGGAAGCAGUUCUACUCCUUGUGCCUGAUAGCUAGGCAGCAAUUGUGUCCUAAUAGUAGCAGGGUUUUUUUUUAUUUUAUUUUCUAUGUGCAUUUAUGUCCUAAUGAAUUUUAGAUUGUGCUGACAUAUGCUUUUAACUGAAAGCAGAAGGUGUUUAGAACAGAGGGCAUGGAUAGUGGUUUGUCAUGUUUUUGUUUAGUGGAGCAGUUUCUCCAUACAGAGGAGCAGUUACUGUUAUAUGAAGAUCCAUAGGAAAAGGGAAAACUCUGUAGGAAAAUAGCUGAUCUCAGAGAAUAACAGUGCUUUCUUAUGGUUGUAUUUUGCAAGAAGCAACACCAAACCCAAGUCUGGCAGUUUUUAACUUGGCAGACUGGAAGCCGGAGUGACCAGGCAGCACUCAAAGCUCACAGGGGGCAACCUAAUACCCCUGGCAGUGCUCUCGAGGAGAAUCGGUUCAACACAAGUAUCACAUAUUCAAGUUUUCCUUCAUGUUGGUCUUCAUUUUCAGGAAAAGCAAAAUCAUUCUGUAUUGCUUUAUUUCACAAUGAUUGGGUAGUAGAGACUUCCCCUAAUAUAGGGUUGUCUUUAAUGUAACCAAAGCACUCUCACUUAAUUAUCCACUGCUAUUUUUUUUUUUUUAACAUUAUUUGAUUUGUGUUCCAAUUUCCAGGAUGUAGGGUAGAACAGUCCCAUUAAGAGCAAAGGCUUACCAUAUUUUUAACCUUGUAGCCCUCCAGUGGGGCUUCACCUGUACGCUACCAGUGAGGACUCCUUUCAGAUGUCUGUCUUAAAUCUUCUGCAGCAAAUCCAAAUACUGUAUUAGUGAAAGGAUAUGUGCUUAUUUAGUGUCCAUGCAAAGACACCCCUCGGUGUGGGUGUGUUGGGCAGUAAAAAUGAACAACAAGGACCAUCAGAGAAUAGACUUUCUUUUUGAGCCCAAGUGAUUUGUUAAACCAAUGAAGCAUGUUUAAGAAAGUCUUCCAUACCAAAAGCACUUUCAAAGCAUGGUGCUGUUUAACCUCUAGAUGUAUUGAUGUCAAUUGUGAGACUGAAACUUUGGGCUUCAAAGGAGAUCGGACUCCUUGUACUUGUGCCUUUGGGCUUCCCAGUGAGUCUCUGUGGACAAAUUAGGUGUGAGUGAAACCCCAUCCCUUUGUUUUUGAAAGAUCUAUUAGGAAGCUAGAUGUAAUGCAUUUUCAUCAUUUUCUGAAAGAUCUUUUCCCUUUAUUGAACAUCUAUUUUGUUUUAAUUCUUUAGGCUUUUUGCUUUUUUUUCCCUUAGAAAAAUAGGAAAUUAAAAAAUGGGAAAAGAAAAAAAAAAAUUCCAGAAGGGUUCUGAGUAGAAGAGCUUUUGUACAAAACACCUCACUCCUAACUCAGUGCUUCAAUCCUCUGAUGCAAUCAGUGUCCAGAGAUGUAGGGUGCCAGUGUCAAGCUGUUUCUUUCUGAAGCAAGUCACCAGUGUUGCUGCUUUUUAUUUUGAGCCAUGCCUGUCAUAUGUGACAAUUGCGUUUGGUUUUUGUUAUGAUUUUUAGUACUGCUCAUUUCAUGCAUGGAACAUUGGCCAUGUCUGAUGUAACAUCAUGCACUAUUCUAUUUGACUUGUUCUUUAUUUUUGUUGUUCUGACUGACAUACAGGAGCAUACUUGGGAUCUUGAUUUUGUGUGUUAAAUUCUGGAGUUGUAAAUUUGAAUGUGAUAUACCUCACAGAACUACUAGUAAAUAUCAACAAAAUAGUAAGCUAAUAUUACGGAUGGGCAGUGAAUUAUCUCCCUUGCUAUGUGGUGGCUGCAAAUGCAGACUUAGGACCCAAUCAGUGGUAUUUGCUGUUGUUGCUGACUCUAUUAUCCAUAGUUGCUGCUUAAAUGGAUGAGCUGUUUCUGAAAGGAAAUCAGUAGCCAUGUCAUCCAUCACAACACAAUUGGCAAAUGCAACACGUUUCUUCACCUUUGAUUUACGAGGGGGACCAGAACUUUCCUUUGCUGGGCACACAGCAGUAGUGUGCUACUGCUCAACUCAAGUUUCAGGCUGCUCUGAAGGGGCACAUUCAAGUCUCUUCUCUCCUUUUUUGUUUUUGACAAGUUCAGCAGGAUAAAAAUAGAGCUGAAGGCAGUGAGAUUCCUUCUUAUACUGUCCUCCACACUCAAUAGAACAUAAAUGGUAGCAAAACUGAGGGUAACUGGAUUUGUUGGAGGGAGAAGGUAUUCGAAUAUCACUAUUAAAAGGUGAUGAGAAAUUGUAUCCUCUAUUUUUAGACAGUAAUUUCUUUGUAAAUAGCAUACUUGUAUCUACAAGUAGAUAAAAAUACAGUAAAAGAUUUGAAAUACGCAGGAAAAAAAAAAUGUAAUAUUUCAAGAAUCAAGUUGCUAACAAGGCUCUGUACCAUAAAUCUAUCAAGAACUUCCCAUCUAAAUAGCAUCCUUUGCUCUGCCACAGGCUUUGAUGAAGACUUCAAAUCAAAUGGCAUCAGAAUUUUUAACACUAAGUAAGGUCCUAACUUUUCAUGCAAAUAUGUGAUAGCAGCAUUAUGUACCUAGGUGUGUAUUGGCUUACAAUUCCCAAAGCAUGUUUUUUCAGAGCCCUGUACUUGAGGAUAUGCCUUAGGAAGUGCAGUUUCGCUUAGGGGAAAUGGCUGCCAUCUGCACUCCUCCCAGCGUCCUACGCCGAGUUCGUGCUGUUGUGCAUUUAGCAGUGACCUGCGUGACUGAUGUUUAGAGAUGCUGUCAGCACAUCUGCUGAUUUGUUGUUGAAUUCUUCUUUGACUUGUCAUUAGCAAGCCUGAGAAUACAUUCUCCGGCCCCAAAUGUUGCAUACAGAGGUUGAGGAACAUUGGAGUGUUUAAAAGCUCAUUUCCUCAUGCCUCUCCUAAAUUUUUAAAUAUCUUCUUAGAGGCUGGAAAACAGUUUCUUCCAUAACAGUUUUUUUCCCCUCCUCCAUCAUUUAUAUAACUCUGGAUUUUCCCCCGUGUUUCUACGAUAGUGUUUAUUUCCUUUUUGCACAUUAUGCAAACAAACCUCAAAUGAUAUUGGCAGGGUUUUCUGUAACUUUACAAGUUGUCCCAGUGUGCACAACAAUGCUUUUUUUGUUUCCCCCCCACAAAAAUGUCUGUCAACUCCUCUCACUCUUCCAACAAAAGAAAGUCUACAGAAAAUAUUUGUGGACUGAGCUUCACCAGGAAGCUCAGCAGCUGAGUUGGUCAGUGAGCAGGAUGCUGCAAGGGAUCCUUCACCAGUCUCACCCUCUCUUUGUGUCUGGGUGAUGCCAUGGUGAGCCAGAGUAAUCAGCAUCCUCAUCUUUUACUGGGUUCCCUAACAACGUCUCUAGGGAGGAUUUUGAAUAGUCCCAAAUCUGCACUUCGACUGGUGUUACCGGAAAGCAGGCUGCUGAGGAAGUAGAAGCACAGGUUCCAUGAGCACUCUACCAGCCACACAUUUCAAUAACUUUGCAACUCAUUUGGUUUAAUGUGCAAAUUGUAGUGCCCAGAGGGUGAAGUUUAACCAGAGGCUACAUAAAAAUUGAAUGUUUUCAUUUUCCUUUUUUGGGCUGAGAAAAACUCAAAAAACUCGAAGUGGGCAGAGUAAAAUAGACGCCUGUAAAGUCUCAUGCCUUUUAGUAGUAAUACAAAUACAGAUACAAAACAAUCCUCAAACUUCACCAUGACAGGGUUUCCUUAAUGUGAUUUAAAGUGGCUUAGGGUGAACAAUACUGUAAGCUUUGUAGCCUCUCAGAUGGCCAAAAAAUAAGAAAACUCUCAUCUGAAACCCUACCUGAUGAUAAUGGUAGUUUGAACUUCAGUCCAGCUGUGGCACGCAAAGCAGCAGAACUGGUGGAGUCAUGCAAGUCACCCAAAAAUUUGUUGUACUCUAAUGCUGUAACUUUAAAAAUAUAUGCUGUGAACAGGUUCAAUGGUUCAAUGUUUUGUUUUGUUGGGGUUUUUUUUUAGGUCUUUUUAUACUGUCUUUUUACAGCAUAAGUAAUUUUUUUUAGAGAUGGUUUUGUGUUCUAUUUUUACAAAUAUUUUAAUGGACUUUUGUUUAAUAGUAGUGAAAAUAUUGUUUGCCAAUUUGAAAUGUUCAUCUAUAGAAAUUAGUCCUGAGAAUAAAUCAAUAAAUCAUACUGUCAAAACAGUCAUCCUAAUGCAUUAAACCUAACCAGUCAUUUAACAUAGUUCUGUUGUUGAAUGAUACCGAAGUUUUCCAGCUUCCAAAUCUGUUACUCAAAAAAGAUUUUCACAAUUUAAAAUAAUCAUACAGCACUUUAAUGAAGUUGUAGUAUACCAAGUAAAGUAGUGAUUCAACAGUGUGUAUCAACAAGAAAAUUUAUUAGCUUAGCAAUUAAACAAAUGCAUGCUUGAAAAUGGAAGCAUGGGAUCACGAUGGGGAAAUAAUAUUCCAGUGGGUUAGAUGACGUGAGACUAACCUAAGGCACCAACUUUGCAAAUGUUUUAAAACUAGUUUGCUUGGCUGUUGUAAUUCUUGUUGUAUUGCUUGUGUGUCUAAAAACAUGCAUGUAUUUAACAAUUUUACCAUAGUAUUGCCAUGGAAUUUAAUAAAUAUAUUUUCUUACGCU